rnacentral:rRNA from 1 species
AACGAACGCUGGCGGCAGGCUUAACACAUGCAAGUCGAACGCACCGUAAGGUGAGUGGCAGACGGGUGAGUAACGCGUGGGAACCUACCCCUUGGUACGGGAUAGCUCCGGGAAACUGGAGAUAAUACCGUAUGUGACCUGAGGGUCAAAGAUUCAUCGCCAAGGGAUGGGCCCGCGUCGGAUUAGCUAGUUGGUGGGGUAACGGCCUACCAAGGCGACGAUCCGUAGCUGGUCUAAGAGGAUGAUCAGCCACAUUGGGACUGAGACACGGCCCAAACUCCUACGGGAGGCAGCAGUGGGGAAUAUUGGACAAUGGGCGCAAGCCUGAUCCAGCCAUGCCGCGUGAGUGAUGAAGGCCCUAGGGUUGUAAAGCUCUUUCACCGGGGACGAUAAUGACGGUACCCGGAGAAGAAGCCCCGGCUAACUUCGUGCCAGCCGCCGCGGUAA